GAGUUUGAUCCUGGCUCAGAGUGAACGCUGGCGGUAGGCCUAACACAUGCAAGUCGAACGGCAGCACAGUAAGAGCUUGCUCUUACGGGUGGCGAGUGGCGGACGGGUGAGGAAUACAUCGGAAUCUACUUUUUCGUGGGGGAUAACGUAGGGAAACUUACGCUAAUACCGCAUACGACCUACGGGUGAAAGCAGGGGAUCUUCGGACCUUGCGCGAUUGAAUGAGCCGAUGUCGGAUUAGCUAGUUGGCGGGGUAAAGCCCACCAAGGCGACGAUCCGUAGCUGGUCUGAGAGGAUGAUCAGCCACACUGGAACUGAGACACGGUCCAGACUCCUACGGGAGGCAGCAGUGGGGAAUAUUGGACAAUGGGCGCAAGCCUGAUCCAGCCAUACCGCGUGGUGAAGAAGGCCUCGG
rnacentral:rRNA from 1 species